GACGAACGCUGGCGGCGUGCUUAACACAUGCAAGUCGAACGGAAAGGCCCUGCUUUUGUGGGGUGCUCGAGUGGCGAACGGGUGAGUAACACGUGAGUAGCCUGCCCUUGACUUUGGGAUAACUUCAGGAAACUGGGGCUAAUACCGGGUAGGAGCUCCUGCUGCAUGGUGGGGGUUGGAAAGUUUCGGCGGUUGGGGAUGGACUCGCGGCUUAUCAGCUUGUUGGUGGGGUAGUGGCUUACCAAGGCUUUGACGGGUAGCCGGCCUGAGAGGGUGACCGGCCACAUUGGGACUGAGAUACGGCCCAGACUCCUACGGGAGGCAGCAGUGGGGAAUAUUGCACAAUGGGCGGAAGCCUGAUGCAGCAACGCCGCGUGCGGGGUGACGGCCUUCGGGUUGUAAACCGCUUUCGCCUGUGACGAAGCGUGAGUGACGGUAAUGGGUAAAGAAGCACCGGCUAACUACGUG
rnacentral:rRNA from 1 species